UGUUCGGUUAUAUAUAUUUGUUCAACUUUAUCCUAUCAUGCAUGAUCAGUACCUUUCAAGUACUGACGCAUACUAUGCGCUACAUCUUCUCGUGAUGUAGGUUCAUAUCAUCAACAUUCAGAUUAUGUGUAGAUCAGUUUCCGAUCUGUAUUCAGCAAUAUUAAUGGUAAGUCUUCAUUCUUCUAGAACGAUUGAUAUGUUUUAUAUUCAGUCUUAUAUUUUAGUUUUAGUUUUGCUAGAGUUAGCUGGGGACAUGUCCCAGCAUCUCUAGUAAGUUAGAGGCUUUUAUUUAGACAUAAUUUUUGUCAUCCCCUAAGGCUACACCUUGACGUAACAUGAGACCUAGGAUCACGAGUGACCCUAAGCUAAUCCUGGGCUAGAAUAUCAUAAGCAUAUUCGAUAAGCAGAUCAGAUCAACAUAUUACAUAACCUUUAAAAGCCUAAACCUAUGAAACCCUUUACCCUAAGAAACCCUAAAUCCUAUUAAACAAUAAACCCUGAACUCUAAGAAACACUAAACCCUACGAAACCCUUAACACUAAGAAACUCUAAACUCUAAGAAAACCUAAAUCCAACAAAAACCUUUAAAAACACUAAACCUAAAAAAAGUCAUUAAAAUCCCUAAAUCUAAAAUCCUUAAGCCCUACUAACCCCUAAAUCGUAAAAAACCAUAAAAAUCCUACAAACAAACCGUUUUAAACCCUACACCUUAGUGUACUAACCUAAAGAAAUUCUAGAAAAACUUAAGCCCUAAAUCUUAAACCCUUAAAACCCUUAAAUAAAAAUCCUAAACUCUAAGAAACCCUAUAUGCUUUUAUGUACCCAAAGAAAUCCUAAACCCUUCUCCUUAAACCUUAGGGCAAAACCCUAAGAAACCCUAAACCUUAAGAAAUGAAAAAAAUCCUAAAAACAUUUAAAAACCCUAAACCCUAUAAACCCCAUAAAGCCUUAAAUCUAAAACCCUAACCCCUAAGAACCCCUAAAUCAUAAAAACCCAAAAAAAAAAAUCCUAAAAACCCUUUAAAACCCUAAACCUAAAAAAUUGUCUAAACGUUCUUUAUACCCUAAAAAAACCUAAAUCCUUAACUCUAAACCAUAGGGUUAAACCCUAAACCCCAUGCUUUAUGAAACACUAAGAAAACCGAAAUCCAAAGAAAACCUAAACCCUAUAAAACCUUUAAAAAUCCAACAACUUUAAUACCCUAAAAAAACACUAUAAAUAAAUCCCUUUAAAACCCUAAGCCCUAAAAAAACCCUAAACUUAAAACCCUAUGCCCUAAAUCCUAGGGAACCCAAAAUCUUUUUUCCAAAAAACCUAAGAAAACCUAAUCAUAGAAACCCUAAACCCAAAAACACUAAAAAAAAAUCCUAAACCCUAAAAAACACUUAACCUAAAACUCGUAACCCUAAGAAACCCUAAACACAAAAUCCUAAACCCUAAAAAACAACAAAAAAUCUUUAAAAACUCUAAACCUAAAAAACCCUUAAGAAAUCCUGAACCUAACAAACCUAAAAACCUAACAAAACAACCUAAACCCAAGAAAAACCAUAAACCCUACUCGCUAAAAGGCCCAAACUAAAUCUAAGAAACCUUAAACGCUAAACUCUAAACCCUAAGAAAUCAUAAAUCAUAAACCCUAACACACUAAACCCUAAACCUUAGGGAUAAACCCCAAACCCCAAGCCAAAUGAAACUCUAAGAAAUUCUAACUCUUAAGAAAACCUAAACACUAAAAAACCCUAAAAACCUUUCAAAAUCCUAAAACGAAAAAAUUCCCUAAAGAAAGCCUUAAAAAUCCUUAAAACCCAUAAACCCAAAAAUAAUUCCUUAAUCUAAAGUCAUAAGCACUAAGAAACCCUAAACCGUAAAAAUCGAUAAUGAUCGUAAAAAAUCUUUAAUCCUAAUAACCCCUAAAUCGUAAAAAGCCAUAAAAAUACUAUAAACAAACCGUUUCAAAUCCUAAACCUUAGGGAACUAACAUAAAGAAAUACUAGAAAAACUUGAGCCUUAAACCUUAAACCUUAAACCCUUAAAUAAAAUUCCUAAACAUAAAACACUAAACUCUAAGAAACCCUAUAUGCUUUUAUGUACCCAAAGAAACCCUAAACCCUUCUCCUUAAACGUUAGGGCUAAACCCUAAGAAACCUUAAAACUGAAGAAAUGAAAAAAACCCUAAAAACAUUUAAAAACUCUAAACCCUAAAAACCCCAUAUAAUCUUAAAUCUAAAAUCCUAAGAACCCCUAAAUCCUAAAAACCCUUUAAAAUCCUAAACCUAAAAAAAUCCACUAAACAUAAAUAUUAAGCCCAAAACCCUAAGAAAACCUAAAUGCUCUUUAUAACAUAAAAAAACUAAAUUUUUAACUCUAAACCAUAGGGUUAACCCCUAAACCCCAUACUUUAUGAAACACUAAGAAACCCUAAACCCUAAGAAAACCUACACCCUAAAAAACCCUACAAACCUUUAAAAGUCCUAGAACUUUAAUACCCUAAAAAAACACUAUAAAUAAAUCCCUUUAAAACCCUAAGCCCUCAAAAAACCCUAAACUUAAAACACUAUGCCCUAAAUCCUAGGGAACCCAAAAUCUUUUUUAAAAAAACCUAAGAAACCCUAAUCAUAAAAACCCUAAACCCAAAAACACUAAAAAAAAUCCUAAACCCUAAAAACACCUAACCUAAAACCCGUAACCCUAAGAAACCCUAAACACUAAAUCUUAAACACUAACCCCUAAAAAACAACAAUUUUUUUUAAAACUCUAAUCCUAAAAAACCCUUAAUAAAUCCUGAACCUAACAAACCUAACAAAAUAACCUAAACCAUAGAAAAACCCUAAACCAAAAACCGUAAACCCUACUCCCUAAAAAGGCCCAAACUAAAACCUAAGAAAUCUUAAACGCUAAACUCUAAACCCUGAGAAAUCACAAAUCAUAAACCCUAAGACACACUAAACCCUAAACCUUAGGGAUAAACCACAAACCCCAAGCCUUAUGAAACUCUAAGAAAUCCUAAAUCUUAAGAAAACCUAAAUGCUAAAAAACCCUAAAAACCUUUAAAAAUCCCAAAACUAAAAAACCCUUAAAAACCAUAAACCCUAAAAUUAUCCUUAAUCUAAAAUCAUAUGCCCUAAGAAACCCUAAACAGUAAAAAUCAAUAAUGAUCGUAAAAUAUCUUUAAAAAUCUUUAACUGAAAAAAACUCUUAAGAUUAAAAAAUCCAACAAAAACUUGAGGUCUAAAUCCUAACCUAAAAACCCUAAACAAAAAAAACCUAAACCUAAAACUCUAAACCCUAAGAAACACUAAAUGCUAAACCCUAUACCCUAAGAAACCCUAAACCUAAAAAAUCCAAAAUAGAAACCUUGAACAACCUAAACCCUAAAAAAACAUAAAAAUCCUAAAAAAAAAAAAGAAGCUUUAAAAGCCCCAGAAAAACUAAGCUCUAGACUUUGAACCCUAAGAAACCGUAAACACUAAAUCCUAAACCAUAAGCCCUAAAAAAAUUUAUAAACCCUAAACCUAAAAAUAAACAAAAAAAAAACUGUGAAAACUAUAAAAAAAAAACCCAUAUUGCCCUAAACCCUAAAUUUUACAAAACCCUUAAUCAAAAACCCUAAGCCCUAAGAACCUCUAAGACGUAAAAAAACCUUAAAAAUUUCUAAAUAAACUGUAAACCUAAAAAUACACUAUAAAAACUUAAGCCAUACACCCUAAAUCCUAAAAACCCUUAAAUAAAAAAGCUUAAACUCUAAACCUAAACCCUCGUCUAUAAGAAACCCUAAACUUCAACAUAUUCAGAUUAUAUCACUGUUCAGUAUGCUUUGUUCGGUUAUAUUUAUUUGUUCAACUUUAUCCUAUCAUGCAUGAUCAGUACCUUUAAAGUGCUGACGCAUACUCUGCGCUACAUCUUCUCGUGAUGUAGGUUCAGGUCCUCAGCAUUCAGAUCACGUGUAGAUCAAUUCCCGAUAUGUAUUCAUCAAUAAUAGUGGUGAGUCGUCAUACUUCUAAAACGAUUGAUAUGUUUUAUAUUCAGUCUUCCAUUUUAGUUUUAGUUUUGCUAGAGUUAGCUAGGGACAUGUCCCAGCAUCUCUAGUAAGUUAUAAGUUUUUAUUCAGACUUGAUUUUUGUCAUUCCCCGAGGCUACCCGCUAAGAAACCCUUUACCCUAAGAACCCCUAAAUCCUAUGAAACAAUAAAUCCUGAACUCUAUGAAACACUAAUCCCUAAGAAACCCUUAACACUAAGAAACUCUAAACUCUAAGAAAACCUAAAUCCUAAAAAAGACACUAAAAACACUAAACCUAAAAAAAUCAUUAAAAACCCUAAAUCUAAAAUAGUAAUCCCUAAUAACCCCUAAAUCGUAAAAAACCAUAAAAAUACUAUAAACAAACCUUUUAAAACCCUAAACCUUUGGGGGCUAACCUAAAAAAAUACUAGAAAAACUUAAGCCUUAAACCCUUAAAUAAAAAUCCUAAACAUAAAACCCGAAACUCUAAGAAACCCUAUAUGCUUUUAUGUACCCAAAGAAAUCCUAAACCCUUUUCUUUAAACCUUAGGGCUAAACCCUAAGAAACCCUAAACCUUAAGAAAUAAGAAAAACCCUAAAAACAUUUAAAAACUAUAAACUCUAAAAACCCCAUAAAACCUUAAAUCUAAAACCCUAAGAACCCCUAAAUCAUAAAAACCCAAAAAAUAUCCUAAAAACCCUUUAAAACCCUAAACCUAAAAAAAUCUUCUAAACAUAAAUAUUAAGCCCAAAACCUUAAGAAACCCUAAAUGCUCUUUAUACCCUAAAAAAACCUAAAUCCUUAACUCUAAACCAUAGGGUUAAUCCCUAAACCCCAUGCUUUAUGAAACACUAAGAAACCCUAAACCCUAAAAAACCCUAAAAACUUUUAAAAAUCCUAGAACUUUAAUACCCUAAAAAAACACUAUAAUUUAAUCCCAUUAAAACCCUAAGCCCUAAAACAACCCUAAACUUAAAACCCUAUGCCCUAAAUCCUAGGGAACACAAAAUCUUUUUUAAAAAAAACCUAAGGUACCCCUAAUCAUAAAAACCCUAAACACAAAAACACUAAAAAAAUCCUAAACCCUAAAAAACACUUAACCUAAAACCCGUACCCUAAGAAACCCUAAACACUAAAUCCUAAACCCUAAAAAACAACAAAAAAUCUUUAAAAACUCUAAACCUUAAAAACCCUUAAGAAAUCCUAAACUUAACAAACCUAACAAAACAACCUAAACCCUAGAAUAACGCUAAACCAACAACUUUAAACCGUACUCACUAAAAGGCCCAAACUAAACCUAAGAAACCUUAAAUGCUAAACUCUAAACCCUAAGAAAUCAUAAAUCAUAAACCCUAUGACACACUAAACCCUAAACGUUUGGGAUAAACCCCAAGCCUUAUGAAACUCUAAGAAAUCCUAAAUAUUAAGAAAACCUAAACGCUAAAAAACCCAAAAACCUUUAAAACUCCUAAAACUAAAAAACCCUUAAAAACCAUAAACCAUAAAAUUAUCCUUAAUCUAAAAUCAUAUGCCCGAAGAAACCCUAAACCGUAAAAAUCAAUAAUGAUGGUAAAAAAUCUUUAAAAAUCUGAAACCGAAAAAAACUCUUAAGCUUAAAAAAUCCAACAAAAACUUGAGGUCUAUACCCUAACAUAAAAACCCUAAACCAAAAGACCUAAACCUAAAACUCUAAACCCUAAGAAACCCUAAAUGCAUUACCCUAUAUACCCUAAACCUAAAAAAUCCAAAAAAAAAACCUUGAAUACCCUAAACCGUAAAAAAACAUAAAUAUCCUAAAAAAAAAAGCUUUAAAAUCCCCAGAAAAACUAAUCUCUAAACUCUGAACGCUAAGAAACCCUAAGCACUAAAUCGUAAACCAUAAGCCCAAAUUUUUUUUUAUCAUACUCUAAACCUAAAAAACCAUAAAAAAAAAACUGUUAAAACUUAAAAAAAAUCUAUAUUUCCCUAAACCCUCAAUCCUACAAAACCCUUAAUCUAAAACACUAAUCCCUAAUAACCCCUAUGACGUAAAAAAAACCUGAAAAAUUUCUAAAUAAACUUUAAACCUAAAAAAACUUAAGCCAUAAAUCCUAAAUCCUAAAAACCCUUAAACAAAAAACCUUAAAAAAACCAUAAACUAGAUAAGAAAGCCUGAACUUUAGUAUAUUCAUCAUGUUCAGAUUAUAUCAUCGUUCAGUAUGCUUUGUUCGGUUAUAUAUAUUUGUUCAACUUUAUCCUAUCAUGCAUGAUCAUUAUACAUCUUCUCGUCAUGUAGGUUUAGGCCCUCAUCACUCAGAUCACGUGUAGAUCAAUUCCCGAUCUGUAUUCAACAAUAUUAGUGGUGAGUCCUUAUUCUUCUAGAACGAUUGAUAUGUUUUAUAUUCAGUCUUCCAUUUUAGUUUCAGUUUUGCUAGAGUUAGCUGGGGAUAUGUCCCAGCAUCUCUAGUAAGUUAGAUGCUUUUAUUCAGACAUAUUUUUUGUCAUUCCCUGAGGCUACCCCUUGACGUAACACGAGACCUAGGAUCACGAGUGACCCUAAGCUAAUCCUGAGAUAGAAUAUCAUAAGCAUAUUAGAUAAGCAUAUACGAUCAAGACAUUAUAAAACCUUUAAAAGCCUAAACCUAAGAAACCCUAAAUCCUAUGAAACAAUAAACCCUGAACUCUAAGAAACACUAAACCCUAAGAAACCCUUAACAAUAAGAAACUCUAAACUCUAAGAAAACCUAAAUCCUAAAAAAACCUUUAAAAACAGUAAAUCUAAAAAAAGUCAUAAAAAAUCCUAAAUCUAAAAUCCUAAGCCCCAAUAACCCCUAAAUCGUUAGAAACCAUAAAAAUUCUAUAAACAAACCUUUUAAAACCCUAAACCUUAGGGAACUAACCUAAAAGAAGCCUAGAAAAACUUAAGCCUUAAACAUUAAACCCUUAAAUAAAAAUCCUAAACAUAAAACCCAAAACUCUAAGAAACCCUAUAUGUUUUGAUGUACCCAAAGAAACCCUAAACACUCUUUAUACCCUAAAAAAACCUAAAUCCUUUACUCUAAACCAUAGGGUUAAACCCUAAACGUCAUGCUUAAUGAAACACUAAGAAACCCGAAACCCUAAGAAACGCUAAAAAACACCUGGCAUAAAACCCGUAACCCUAAGAAAACCUAAACAAUAAAUCGUAAACCCUAAGAAACCCUAAACUUACCUUAGGGCUCAAAUCUUGGGCACUAACCCUAAACAUUAAGAAUCCCUAAAAUAAACCCUUUAAAACCCGAAAAAUCUUUCAAAAUCCAAAAUCUAAAAAACCCUUGUCAAAAUCAUAAGCCCUAAUAAACCAUAAAAAAACUCAAAUAAAAUCCUUAAACCUAAAACCCUAAGCACUAAACCAAGAAGCCCUAAGAAACACUAAACUAUAAACCCUAAGAAACUCUAAACUUUAAACCCUUAUAAACCCUAAGCGGUAAGAAACCCUACCCUAAAACCUCAGAUCCUAAACCCUAAGAAACUACCUAAUACCCUAAAAAAAACCAUUUUACAACCCCUAAAAACCUUCAAAAACCAUAAAUCUAAAAAUCAGUAAGCCCUACAUCAUAAUUUACACAAAAAAUCAUUUUUAAAAAAUCCUAAACCCUAGAAAUCACAAUGAAAACCUAAACUCUAAACCAUAAGAAACCUAAAUCGAAAUCCCUUAAAAAACCAAAAACCCAAAAUCAAUGAUCUAAGGCUUUCUUUGCUCUGCCUCUGGGCCCGAGAGCGAGGUCCAAUGAUCCUCUUUUCAAUCUCUUACUUACUCUCUCGUGCAAUAGAGCAUAUUUGGACAGACUCACUCCCUUAAUCAUUGUCUUAUAUUCCAUUCGCUUCCUUUGGAAAAAGAGUCAGAACUGAUAGUCAUCGCUCUCGUCACGUUAAUCCGUAUGUAAUAGCUGCGCCAAAGCUUCACUCCAGGUCGAACUCACUUCCAAUUACAAUUCCCCCAAAAUAAACCUGGGAAAUCUUAAAUGCUAAACACUAAAUCCUAAGAAAUCAUAAAUCCUAAACCCUAAGACACACUAAACCCUAAACCUUAGGGAUAAACCCCACACACCAAGCCUUAUGAAACUCUAAGAAAUCCUAAAUCCUAAGAAAACCUAAACACUUAUAAACCCUAAGAAAUCCUAAAUUCUAAAACUAAAAUACCAAAAAAACCCUUAAAAACCAUAAAUCCUAAAAUAAUUCCUUAAUCUAAAAUCAUAAGCCCUAAGAACCCUAAAUCGUAAAAAUCAAUAAUGAUCGUAAAAAAUCAUUAAAAAUCCUAGAUAAAAAAAACUCUUAACCUUAAAAAAUCCAACAAAAACUUGAGCACUCAACCCUAACAUAAAAACCCUUAACCUAAAAUCUAAACCCUAAGAAACCCUAAAUGCUACACCCUAUACCCUAAGAAACCCUAAACCUUUUGGCUAAACCCUAAACCCUAAGUAAUAAAAACCUUAACCUAAAAAAUCCAAAAAACAAAACAUUAAAUAACCUAAACCCUAAAAAAAUAUAAAAAUUCUAAAAAAAAAAGCUUUAAAAUCCACAGAAAAACUAAGCUCUAAACUUUGAACAAUAAGAAACCCUAAACACUAAAUCCAAAACAAUAAGCCCUAAAAAAAAUUACAAACCCUAAACCUAAAAAAUCAUUAAAAAAAAACUUUUAAAACCAUAUUGCCCUAAACCCUCAAUCCUACAAAACCCUUAAUCUAAAACCCUAAGCUCUAAGAAUUCCUAAGACAUAAAAAAAACCUUAAAAAUUUCUAAAUAAACUGUAAACAUAAUAAUACACUAUAAAAACUUAUGCCAUAAACCCUAAAUCCUAAAAUCCCUUAAACAAAAAAGCUUAAACUCUAAACAUAAACCCUCGUCUAUAAGAAAGCCUAACCUUCAGUGUAUUCAUCAUAUUCAGAUUAUAUCACUGUUCGGUAUGCUUUGUUCGGUUAUAUAUAUUUGUUCAACUUUAUCCUAUCAUGCAUGAUCAGUACCUUUCAAGUACUGACGCAUACUAUGCGCUACAUCUUCUUGUGAUGUAGGUUCAGAUCCUCAGCAUUCAAAUCACGUGUAGAUCAAUUUCCUAUAUGUAUUAAACAAUAUUAGUGGUGAGUGCUCAUUCUUCUAGAACGAUUGAUAUGUUUUAUAUUCAGUCUUAUAUUUUUGUUUCAGUUUUGCUAGAGUUAGUUGGGGACAUGUCCCAGCAUCUCUAGUAAGUUAGAGGCUUUUAUUCAGACAUAAUUUUUGUCAUCCCCUAAGGCUACACCUUGACGUAACACGAGACCUAGGAUCGCGAGUGAUCGUAAGCUAAUCCUGGGCUAGAAUAUCAUAAGCAUAUUCGAUAAGCAUAUCAGAUCAACAUAUUAUAAAACCUUUAAAAGCCUAAACCUAUGAAACCCUUUACCCCAAGAAACACUAAAUCCUAUUAAACAAUAAACCCUGAACUCUAAGAAACACUAAACCCUACGAAACCCUUAACACUAAGAAACUCUAAACGAUAAGAAAACAUAAAUCCUAAAAAAACCUUUAAAAGCAC
rnacentral:lncRNA from 1 species